rnacentral:rRNA from 1 species
AUUGAACGCUGGCGGCAGGCCUAACACAUGCAAGUCGAACGAGUGGCGGACAGGUGAGUAAUGUCUGGGAAACUGCCUGAUGGAGGGGGAUAACUACUGGAAACGGUAGCUAAUACCGCAUACCAUCGGAUGUGCCCAGAUGGGAUUAGAUAGUAGGUGGGGUAACGGCUCACCUAGGCCACGCUCCAUAGCUGGGCUGAGAGGAUGACCAGCCACACGGGAAUGGAGACACGGUCCAGACUCCUACGGGAGGCAGCAGUGGGGAAUAUUGCACAAUGGGCGCAAGCCUGAUGCAGCCAUGCCGCGUGUAUGAAGAAGGCCUUAGGGUUGUAAAGUACUUUCAGCGGUGAGGCGUUACCCGCAGAAGAAGCACCGGCUAACUCCGUGCCAGCAGCCGCGGUAAUUC